ACCCCUACGGGAGGCAGCAGUGGGGAAUAUUGCACAAUGGGCGCAAGCCUGAUGCAGCCAUGCCGCGUGUAUGAAGAAGGCCUUCGGGUUGUAAAGUACUUUCAGCGGGGAGGAAGGGAGUAAAGUUAAUACCUUUGCUCAUUGACGUUACCCGCAGAAGAAGCACCGGCUAACUCCGUGCCAGCAGCCGCGGUAAUACAUAGGGAGCAAGCGUUAUCCGGAUUUAUUGGGUGUAAAGGGUGCGUAGACGGGAAAUUAAGUUAGUUGUGAAAUCCCUCGGCUUAACUGAGGAACUGCAACUAAAA
rnacentral:rRNA from 1 species